GAGUGUUUCAAUGUGUGGUGGAUGUAGUGUGUGUACUGUGAAUACAGGAUGUUUGUGUAGUGGCUGCUGUGUGUACAGUUAAUGCAGAGUGUAUGUUAGUGUAGUUAAUGCAGAGUGUGUGCCAGUGUAGUGAAUGUAGAGUGUGUUAGUGUGUAGUGAAUGCAGAGUGUGUGUUGCUGUGUAGUGAAUGCAGAGUGGGUGUUGUAUUAGUGUAUGCAGUGUGUGUCUGUUGUGUUAGUGUAUGCAGUGUGUGUGUGUGUAAAUGUGCAAUCUGG